GGAACCAUGGCUCAGUGGCAGAGCAUCUGUUUUGUGUGCAGAAGUUCUCAGGUUCAAUCCGCAGCAUUUCCA
rnacentral:tRNA from 1 species